rnacentral:tRNA from 1 species
GCUGCUAUAGCUCAGGGGUAGGGCACUCCGUUGGUAAGGUAGAGGCCGAGAGUUCAAAUCUCUCUAGCAGCACCA